CCUCCCACCCGUGUUUAUUUUACCUUGUUGCUUCGGCGGGCCCGCCUUUACUGGCCGCCGGGGGGCUCACGCCCCCGGGCCCGCGCCCGCCGAAGACACCCUCGAACUCUGUCUGAAGAUUGUAGUCUGAGUGAAAAUAUAAAUUAUUUAAAACUUUCAACAACGGAUCUCUUGGUUCCGGCAUCGAUGAAGAACGCAGCGAAAUGCGAUACGUAAUGUGAAUUGCAAAUUCAGUGAAUCAUCGAGUCUUUGAACGCACAUUGCGCCCCCUGGUAUUCCGGGGGGCAUGCCUGUCCGAGCGUCAUUGCUGCCCUCAAGCACGGCUUGUGUGUUGGGCCCCGUCCUCCGAUUCCGGGGGACGGGCCCGAAAGGCAGCGGCGGCACCGCGUCCGGUCCUCGAGCGUAUGGGGCUUUGUCACCCGCUCUGUAGGCCCGGCCGGCGCUUGCCGAUCAACCCAAAUUUUUAUCCAGGUUGACCUCGGAUCAGGUAGGGAUACCCGCUGAACUUAAGCAUAUCAAUAA
rnacentral:rRNA from 1 species